GUCAUAUGUUCUUCGUGACAUGGCGUACUGCUCAGUAACACGUGCCAUAAUCUGCCCUUGGGUCCGGCAUAACCCCGGGAAACUGGCGAUAAUUCCGGAUAACGCACAUAUGCUGGAAUGCUUUAUGCGUCAAAUGGAUUCGUCUGCCCAAGGAUGGGUCUGCGGCCUAUCAGGUAGUAGUGGGUGUAAUGUACCUACUAGCCGACGACGGGUACGGGUUGUGA
rnacentral:rRNA from 1 species